rnacentral:lncRNA from 1 species
GAAAAAAUGAAGAAGAAUUCAAGAAUGAGAUGAGGGUGUCUUCUUCCUGUAGAAGUCCAAAUGAAACACCUUAUUUCCAAUCACAGCCACAACCUGGGGGAGAAGAAUCAAAUCCUCCACAGGGAUUGUGAUUUCUGUGGAUAUGAAUAAUCCAUGUUCCUACCAGCCGCCAAAAAAACAGCUUUUGGAAACAAGAUGUACUAUUUGGUGCAAGGUUAUAGCUACGUGACAUUUUGGCAAGACAGGCUUUUUUAUGACCACAGAGGAAUUUGAAGAGGCAGGAACACAACUGAAAAAAAAUCUCUUCCCUUUAUGGUAUGUGAAGGUGUGGUUUCAAGCAAAGAAAUAUGGUAGAAGAAGAUGGAGGAAAAUCAUAAUGCAAGGCAAAUAUAAAAAUGGCACAAAACAUUAGAAAAUGCUGGAGGAUGCCAAAGUUCUGAAUGGACCAAUGCUUGAAAAAAUAUAGAGAAAAGCAAGGAGAAGAAUACAAAUGAGGAAGAUCAUUAACAGGAGAAGGGACCAUAAAGCUACACAAAUCCAAUUUGCCUCCACCUUCUCCAUCAAAUAGUAUUAUCUAAUAGUAGUUAGAAUGAACAUAGCUGGGGAUGGGGAACUGAAGUCCAAGAUGGACGAGGAGGUAAAAGGUGCUUGGUUACUUUAAAUGAGCUUAAGCUCAGUUAGAUAUCUUCUUUAAUUGCACAGUCUUCAAAUGACUGAAUAUAAACUUCUAGGAAUAGGAAAUAAUUUGAAAGCAAAAUAAUGGUACUGACUUAGUAAAAGUCCCACAUGUGCACAUUUAGCACUCCUAGACUGAUAAGCUGAAGAUGAACUGUGGAGAGAUGUUGCUCUGAUAAUUAUAGACUGGCAGUUAACAUAGCUGGAAACAUAAUCCUGUUGCUUAAUUUCUGCAUGCAGAAAAAAACCCCAGCAUUUAUUUUGCAAGCCACUGUAAUACAAAUGCACUGGGAGUGUCCUAUUUGGGGUAAUAGGUAUAUCUAACUCCCUUUUAAUUAACCCAAAUUUCUAUCAUGUGCAUAUAGGAUAAAGAGAAGGAAGGAAGGAAGGAAGUAAUUAAGGAAUUCCCUCAGUAAGUAACAGCAAAAGCAUAAAGAAACAAGUCAUUUGCUCCCAUGUUCUAGUUUGUGUAAAAGCACAAAAAAAUUGAUGUAAAAAAACUUACAUAUUCCACCUAGUAAAGCAAAUAUCCUGCUUUCUCUUUUCAAGAAGCAGCAGGAAAAGAUCACUUAUAUAAGUGAUAACCAUCAAUAAUUUGUAAUAUAGAGUAUAAAUUCUUCAGAUGGAUGUUGCUGAGAGGUGUAACCUUUUGUGGGUUAAGGAUGGAGGAACUGAGGAGUAGAAACAGAAGAAUUAUCUGUGGGGGGAAAAUCCUGUUAUCUUUUUUCUCAAAGUUUAUAGGUAUAGGAAUGGAGUGCAAGCAAAGUUGCAGGCAAAGUGGGCAUCCACUUGGAUUAUUUUAUUACCUUUAAGGUGGGUAGAUCAUCUGCUCUAGUCUCAAAAGAAUAAACCUGGCAUCAGUUCAGGAAACUGAGGUUUUUAUUAACCAGUGUCAUGUCCAUCUCAAUAUUCUCUUCCUAAUUAGCAGUGAAAUAAAGGAAGGGACCAAAAGCAUUUGAAUCAUUUCUCUAAUUUUAUGUCUCAUGACAUGGCCACAGCAUUUGUGUAGUUCAGACUUCUUCAUGACCAGACAGACUAAAGUAGGAAAUUAUAAGUAGUCUUCCAAAAAGGAAUUUUGAUACAAAACCUUCAAUGGUCAUUUUCCUUUAUUUCCCUCUUUAUGUAAGAGGUAAAGGAGGAGGAAUAGGAAAUGGUUUUGUGGUUGAACCAAUUGAAUCCCAAAGAUUUGAUUGGUUCUUUGCCGAGGAGGGUGAGGAUGGCUAGAGAUUCUAUCUUCAGCAAACCAGGAACACUUGAUAUUGCUUCUGACUGAAUCAGUAUUUAUUGAAUGCCUUUUAUGUCAGGUAAUAUGUUAAGUGUUGGGGGAGCCAAGACACAGUCCAUGACUGGAAAGGGCUUAUGGAUUAGUAGGGAAGACAGAAAAUGGGCAAUUUCAUGUCAGAGACACUGGGAUCCAGAAAAGGAAUAUCUAACUGGGUCAAGAAGAUCAGGGAUGCUUCUCCAGAGCAGGUAACAUCAAACCUAAGGCCAGGAGGAUGAGUGGGGUUAUUCAGAUAAAGGGGAGAAAGGGAUAUGUGAUCUAGCCAGAGAAACCCCAUGUACAAAGGCCAGGGGUGAGAGAUCAAGUAGUUAGCCUGGCUGGGGUGCUAGGUAUUCUAGGGGAGUGAGAGUUGGGGUUGAGGGUAGUAUGCUAUGUGAAAUACGGGGCUGAAUGGGAAGGAUCCUCUAGGUCCUGUCAAGGAAUGAGGACUUUAUUUGAGGGCAAUUAGAAGUCAUGAAAAAAUAUUAUGCUGUGAAGUGUUAUGAUCAGGCCUGAGUUAAUAGGAAGACUGAUUUGGGAAGGUUAAAGUCUGGAGUCAGAGACACCAGUGAAGGUCAAGGUUGAUGCAGCAAUGUAAGUGAGAGAUAAUCAUGGCCUGGACCAAGGUUGCAGAAAUGAACAUGGAAGGGGAGAAUGGGUUCUGGCGGUGUUCAGCAGGGGUAGACAGUGGGACUUGCAGAUUGUUUAGAUGGAGAGAUGAGGGAAAAGACAACAUUUAAAGCUGACUAGGGUCAUGGGACUUUUGAGUCUUCUAGAUACAAUGGUUUAGUGUUCUGCCUUCUGGAGGGGCUGACCCUGUGUUAUCCCAGCAUAUCUAGGCCUGAGAAAAAUAACCUACAAGCCUGCCAGAAAUGUAUAGGCAGCAUUAAUUUUUACAAAGUGUAAAUGUGUGGUCAUUUUCUGUGACUUCUUUUGUUUACUUUUUUUGAGACAGGGUCUUACUCUGUCACUCAGGCUGUAGUGCAAUGGUGCAAUCAUGGCUUACUGCAGCCUCAAACUCUUGGGCUUAAGUGAUCCUUCCCCCUUAACUUCCUGAGUAGCUAGGACUACAGAUGUGUGUCACCACUCUCAGCUAUUUUUUAUUUUUAUUUUUUGUAGAGACAGGGUCUCACUAUGUUGCCCAGGCUGGUCUUGAACGCCUGGACUCAAGCUAUCCUGCCUCAGCCUCCUGAGCUUUUGGAAUUACAGGCAUGAGCCACUGCACCUCGCCAUUUUCUGUUACUUUUAAUAGUAGGUACCGGUGAACUAACUUUGCAUUUAAUGAAACUUAAAUAUCUGGGAAAAUUCUCCUAAUACCUUUAGGGGAUUACUUUGGUUGAUCCCUAGAUAUGAGUUACUAUCUCAGAUCUGUUUGACUGUCUUGAUUCGCAAAGGCUAAUAGGAGAGUUUCUUAUUCUUUGACAAGGGAACAAAGCUCAGUAUCUUGUUUUUCUUGAAAACAAAUCCAAGAAACUUUUUUCUCAGGGCUGGUAUGUAUGAGGACGACAUCUGGUCUUAGAUAUGCAGCCUGCAGAAUCAAGCAAUGCAGCUCCGUGUCCCGGUGCUGAGCGGUUUCUGUGGCCUUUUGACAGUUCUUACGGGCAAUCAUCAAGCCACUAACCUUCCUUAGCAUAUGAAAAAUAAAGCAAGUUUCCCAUAGUUGCCAUAUCAGCACAAGGCCAGAUUCUGGAGGGCCUCAGGGGCAAUGAUAUGCAGAAUUGAGAAAAUUCAGAAAAACUUAAUAAUAAUUAUCAUUCCAGUCCCACCCAAAAUAUUAACAGUAAUAAACAUUGGUAACAUUUUGGUCUGUACUUU